rnacentral:lncRNA from 1 species
CUCCAUCCACGACCAAAUUCAGCCCGCUCACAUACUUAGCAUCAUCGCUAGCCAGGUACAACGCUGCUGCCGCAAUGUCCUCCGCUCUCAAAACUGUACCUCUCAAGUUCCCUAUUUUCUCAAUGAACGCUUCCGCAUCCUCUUUACCCAACCCACCCAAUACCGACCUCAGCAAGGGCGUCGCCACCCCGAAAGGCGAUAUCACGUUGACUCGGAUCCCGUGUUGUCCUAGCUCGGCGCACAGAUUGUUGGCCAGCCCCACCACCCCAGUCUUCGACACCUUAUAUGCGUACGGCAUGUUUCCGCUCGUCAGUACAACCGAACUGGCCGUGAACAGAAUGCAUCCGCCUCUCCCUGCCGGGACCAUCACCCUGUGGUUUGAACAAUGUUUUUUAGCCAAAAUAAAAUUGAAGCAUUUAAUUGGAACUUGAAAGUCUCAGUAGAUAGACCGUUCAAAGUUGGCGGUAAGCAUUAAAUAUAUGGUGGUUGAAGUGGCAAUUCACUAUGCUACGUAAUUGUUGCUAGUACCUACCAAUUCGAAAUUCGUUUACGCGGAUCGUGUCACUUUUGAAGUAAUUUUCCGAAAUUCAUACCGAACAUUAUAGGCAGAUACUAAGCUAUGGGUUUUUCGCCUCAGUCCCAUCCCACUUUACAGUUCAGAGGUACGAACUGUAUAUAUUUUCGUAUAGAUGAAAAAAAUGGCCUAGUAAAUUUUCAAAUUUAGACCAAUGGGCAAUAUGUCAAUCUUUUGUAGAAUAUUAAAAAAAUUCAGCAAUAAAAUUUGUAAAAACUAAUAUAUAUCUGCGCAACAAAAUACGUUUGAGGUUGUAACAAUCUGAACGAUUUCACUACAUCAGGGCCCUUUUGAGUUUUGACGUUGCACAUCAGCUAGCACUAAAAAGGCUACUCCUAUUAGAAAUGGUGAUUUUUUCAAAAAUUGCUUAAAUUACAUAACUAAUUUGGAUGAAAACUCUAUUGUUGAUAAGUGUUUUCUUAUUUCUUAUUAAAUUGUCUUAUAAAUUAGGGGUUAGUUAUCAAAUAGUUUCAUAACUUUUAAUGGAUACAAAUCCGUCUUAUUCUUUUUUUUAAAUCGUCAGAAAAUUGAACAUUCAUUAUGAACGGGACAGCCACAUAACGGGAAGAAAAAAGUGAGACGAAUAUGUAUCGAUUUGAAGUUACAUGACUGUUUGGUAACUGCCCUCAAUUUAUGAGACAAUUUAAGUAUUUUACCUUUUUUACGUGAUAAUUAGUUACUUACGAGUAGAAAACACAUUUUUUUAGAUAGAAUUUUCAUUCGGCAAAGUAAUUAUCCAAACAACGUUUACCUGGCAGCGUGUUUGGCACCUAAGAAGGUCGCAAAGAGGUUGACGUCGAGGACUCGUUUGAAAUUAUCGUCGUCGGAGUUGAGGAUGCUAGUAUUCAGGUCGCCGGAGAUGCCGGCGUUGUUGUGCAUGAUGUCCAGCUGGCCAUACGUGGACACUGCCGCAUCAACCGCAUGGCUGACGUGGGCAGGAUUGGUGACGUCACAGUGGACGUAUGUGGCGGCGUGUGGGCCACCCAGCUUCCCGGCGAGUGACUGGCCGAGUUGGUCUUGGACGUCGGCAAUGACGACCUUAGCGCCGUGUCGGACGAACAGCUUGGCCGUGCUUUCGCCUAUGCCGCUGGCUCCCCCGGUGAUCAGCGCAACUUUACCUUCCAACCUGGAAAUGGAAUUAGGUACCGGCGGGAAAAUUGGAUGUAUGAAGAAAUAGGGACGAGAAAUAAGUACCUUUUAAUGACGGAACUAACGGCGUUAGUGGCGCUCAUAUCUUGCUCAGAUUAGUAUGAAAUGGGAAGUGAGAUAGAUAAAAAAAAACCGAACUGAUGAUGAAAGGGUUUUUAUAGCCCCUCUGUACUCCUUUUGUUUGUUUCCUCUUCACUUUAAGGAGUCGAAUUGCAAUAUUUUCAAAGUUGAAUAUUGUAGAUAGGGAUGAAUGUACAUAUUUGACCCUCCAUCGCACUAAUUAGAAUCAAUAAUGAAUAUCAAAUACAUAUGAAAGGUAGGGGUACGGGUGUAAAAAAACUCAGUAAUCGACCAACCGAUUUCUUUUAUCAUUGUUUGUGUAGGUGUUUUGUGGGAAUGAUUCGAUGAAGGACAAUUGAGUUAAAAGUAUAUGGGCUAAUUAAUCACACAUCUCCACUACUCAAGUGAAUAAUGUAUGUGUUGUCCAUUUUGGUAAUUUCCAUCACCAUUGUUAGUACACGAUUAUGUUUAUGGUAUUGUACAUGUAUUUUAACAAAUCGGGUUUAAUUUCCUUGAUGGUGAAGAAAACUUCAUUGUACAGUCCUCAUUGAGGGCUUUUGACCGACAUCUCCAAGGUACGUCUUUCGGUUUGAAUCCGUUUUCAUGGAUUAUUUCGUAUUAAAAUGUGUCAAAAAAAUUCAAAUUAUCCUCUGUGUCAAUACAUAUAUGCGUUACGAUGUCUUACUAAUUAAAUUGUGGCAUUAAUGUAUUCAUUACUAGAGAAAGUACUGAUUCAAGAAAGUACGCAUUUGAUCAUGAAAGGACCAUGAAUUGUAAGUCAACAUUGUACAUAUAUAAUGUCAAUAAUACAUUUUAUUAUUGGUGUGACAUAAUACAUUUUAUUAUUUAUGAUACUAUAACCAUCCUCACGAAUAGAUACUUAAUCAAGAUACGCGAAAACUUAAUGAUUCUGAUCGACAAAUCCUUCGAAUUGGCGUGUCGACACUACUUAGUGAACGUCGAAGCAGGAAAUAUGGGGUUGUUCUGCCUGUGACCUCCAUCCACGACCAAAUUCAUCCCGCUCACGUACUUAGCAUCGUCGCUAGCCAGGUACAAUGCCGCCGCCGCAAUAUCACCCUCUCUCAGAACAGUCCCUUUCAAGUUCCCUAUCUUCUCGACGAACGCGUCACCCUCCUCCUUUCCCAUCCCGCCCAGCGCCGCCCUUAGUAACGGCGUCGCCAGCGCGAAAGGCGAUAUCGCGUUGACUCGAAUCCC